rnacentral:lncRNA from 10 species
GCAUGGAUUCCCCCUGUUCUCAGGCUACACACUAGACAGAAAGUGAGCUAAGCUAUUUUCACUGUAUUCUUAUCUUUGCAGGUGUAAACUCAACCUUUUCCCCACGGCACUUCCUUGGGUUAUUCUGAAAGCCUCUGCAGUACUCUGAUUAUCCCGAUGUAUAUACUACAUGAAACACUGUCUGGUUUAUUAGUUCAUUUAUCUCACUAACAGCAAUCAUACUAAUACGUUUUUAUGACCUGAGAAGCCUUUGCUUCAAAAGAAGAAGUUUUAGUAGUUGAAGUAUCAACUACAAAUCUCAAAUGACUCUACGGUUGCCCACCACCAUACCACACAUUUGAAGAACCAGCUUACGUAA